rnacentral:rRNA from 1 species
AUGACAGAUCCUUUUUCACAUGGGGCCUUCAACACAGAAAACGUCAAGGAUCUCUUUGGAAAUGGGAUUUUUGUGACAGACGGGGACAAGUGGCGACACCAGAGGAAGCUAGCAAGCCACGAGUUCUCAACUAAUGUGCUACGCGACUACAACAGUAAUGUUUUCAGAAUGAAUGCUGUAAAACUGGCAGAGAAGACCUCAUCUGCUGCAGCUAACAGAAUUACCAUAAACAUGCAGGACCUUCUGAUGAGAACAACUAUGGAUUCAAUUUUCGAAGUGGGGUUCGGUUUUGAGCUUAACACGCUAUCUGGAUCAGAUGAAUCCAGCAUUGAAUUCAGCAAGGCAUUCGAUGAGGCAAAUUCUCUUGUUUACUAUCGGUAUGUUGAUAUGUUCUGGAAGCUGAAAAGGUAUCUUAAUAUCGGGUCUGAAGCUAAACUGAAAAAUAGCAUAAAGAUAAUUGACCACUUUGUGUUCCAGUUGAUCCAUCAAAAGAGAGAGAACAUGAAAAACAUAAGUGGCCAUAUGCAGAAAGCCAGAGAUGAUAUACUGUCAAGAUUCAUACUGGAAAAUGAGAAGGAUCCUGAGACGAUGAACGAUCGUUACCUUCGUGACAUAGUCCUCAGUUUCCUGAUUGCUGGUAAAGACACCACAGGAAAUACCCUUACAUGGUUCUUCUACAUGCUCUGCAAGAACCCAGUAGUGCGGGAUAAGGUUGCCUUUGAAAUCAGAGAAUAUGUCGAGUGGACACAAGAAGAUACCAGCAUGGAAAUAUUCACCGCAAGACUGAAACAAGGUGCUAUUGACAAAAUGCACUAUCUCCAUGCUGCGAUUACCGAGACUCUCCUGCUGUAUCCUGGUGUUCCGGUGGAUGGUAAGAUGGCAGAUGAAGAUGAUGUACUGCCAAACGGCCAACGAGUAAUAAAAGGAGAUGGAAUGAACUACAUGAUUUAUGCCAUGGGGAGAAUGAAAUACCUUUGGGGUGAGGAUGCCGAAGAACUCAGGCCUGAAAGAUGGCUUGUGAAUGGAGUCUUCCAGCAAGAGAGCCCUUACAAGUUUAUAGCUUUCAAUGCAGGACCUCGUAUCUGCUUGGGGAGAGAAUUUGCAUACAGACAGAUGAAAAUUGUGGCCGCUACACUGAUACAGUUCUUCAGGUUCAGACUGAAGGAUGAAUCCAAGGGUCCAAUAUACAAAACAAUGUUUACUCUGCACAUGGAUAAGGGGCUUCAUGUACUUGUGUACCCCCGUGAAAUUCAAGCUUGA